rnacentral:rRNA from 1 species
GACAGGAGGGGCUAGCGUUGGGCGUAUGGACUGGGCCUAAAGCGCGGGUAGGUUGUUGAGAGCUUUUUGUCUGUAGGCCCCCGAUGGUCCGGGGCAAGCAGCCAAAACCUCUCGACUGGGGUAUCAAUCAGGGUUGGGGAACAGCCCAAGGACCGGUGGAAUGGAAGCAGAUGGGUUUGAACGCCGACGGCGAAGGCACCAACCUGGUUGAUGACCGACGCCCAGCCGCGGAAGCGUGGGGAGGCCAAUGGG